rnacentral:rRNA from 1 species
UACGUAGGGAGCAAGCGUUGUCCGGAAUUAUUGGGCGUAAAGCGCGCGUAGGCGGCUACUUAAGUCGGAUGUGAAAGCCCCUGGCUCAACUGGGGAAGUGCACCCGAAACUGAGUAGCUUGAGUGCAAAAGAGGGCCGCGGAAUUCCCGGUGUAGAGGUGAAAUUCGUAGAUAUCGGGAGGAACACCGGUGGCGAAGGCGGCGGCCUGGGUUGACACUGACGCUGAGGCGCGAAAGCGUGGGGAGCAAACAGG